rnacentral:rRNA from 1 species
AUUGAACGCUGGCGGCAUGCCUUACACAUGUAAGUCGAACGGCAGCGGGGGAGAAGCUUGCUUUUCCUGCCGGCGAGUGGCGAACGGGUGAGUAAUACAUCGGAACGUGCCCUGUAGUGGGGGAUAACUAGUCGAAAGAUUAGCUAAUACCGCAUACGACCUGAGGGUGAAAGUGGGGGACCGCAAGGCCUCAUGCUAUAGGAGCGGCCGAUGUCUGAUUAGCUAGUUGGUGGGGUAAAGGCCUACCAAGGCGACGAUCAGUAGCUGGUCUGAGAGGACGAUCAGCCACACUGGGACUGAGACACGGCCCAGACUCCUACGGGAGGCAGCAGUGGGGAAUUUUGGACAAUGGGCGAAAGCCUGAUCCAGCAAUGCCGCGUGUGUGAAGAAGGCCUUCGGGUUGUAAAGCACUUUUGUCCGGAAAGAAAUGGCUCUGGUUAAUACCUGGGGUCGAUGACGGUACCGGAAGAAUAAGGACCGGCUAACUACGUGCCAGCAGCCGCGGUAA